CUGACUCAGCAAACAAAACAACACACAUUUCUCUAUCUCUCUCUCUAGACUCUAUCUGUAUCUGACUCCCGACACUGUUUCAGAACCCGACAAAAGCAAAGCAACCUGCUCCCUUCUUCUCAGUUCUCAGUUCUCACUCUCAACCCAGUGGCUCUACCCGUAAUAUAACCCAAAAGUUUUCCUCUUUCUGAAAGCACACCACACAAUACAUCCACCACUUCCAUUUAUUUUUCUCACAAAUGGAAAGCCUCAAGAGAGAAUGAUAUCACAGUUCCGCAGGUUCACUUCAGCUUGAACACGACCUCACCUUAAGCCCACCUAUUUCCUUUUUCCUUCAAGCGAUUCCAAACACACCCCACUAUCACUCUCUCUCAAAUGGAGAAGAUGAUGGUUCUCUACAAGCUCGAAGCUCGUGGCAUAAUCUAGACACUUUUCUCUCUCUCUUUUUUUUUAUCUCUAGAGUACUUUCCCUUUUUCUUUCUUUCUUUCUCUCUUUACAACUUCCUCUGCCGGAGGAGGAUGGCAUGCCGGAAAUUUGUCACCGGGAACUUGGAUCCGCAGAGAAAGAGAAGUGGGGGGUUGAGAACGAAACAGGCGGGGAGAGGAUCGUGCCGUGGUAGUCAAGACUCGGAAUUCAAACUCGCCGGAAAAUGCUUCUUCUCCGGCUGUGAAACAUACCCUUUUGUGUUUUUCUGUUAGUGCAUGCUCUUGUUCUUCCAUUGGGUCGUAGAAAAGGAAAAAAAAGUGAGAAAAUUCUCGCGUGGUUUUGAGAUGGGGUUUCUGUUGAAAGAAGCUUUGAGGACUCUCUGCGGUCGGAAUCAGUGGUCUUAUGCUGUGUUCUGGAAGAUCGGUUGCCACAAUUCCAAGCUAUUAAUCUGGGAAGAAUGCUAUUAUGAACCUUUGCCGUGGCCUCCACACAUGUUUGGGAUGCCUGAUUUGCCUUACCAGAAUGGGGAAGGAUGCUGGUUUUCUUCAGAGUCUCUGUCAUCUCAGCUUGGGAUUCAAGAGGAGGUCCGAGUCUCUUCUUUGAUUAAAAAAAUGACUGUAAACAAUUCAGUUAUUAUUGCAGGUGAAGGCAUAAUUGGACGGGCUGCAUUUACAGGCAGCCAUCAGUGGAUUCUUUUGAACAAUUUCACUGAAGAUGCAUAUCCUCCACAGGUAUAUGCUGAAGUGCAUCACCAAUUUUCAGCUGGAAUACAGACAGUAGCUGUUAUUCCUGUGCUUCCUCAUGGGGUUGUUCAACUUGGUUCUUUCUUGCCUAUAAUUGAGAAUAUGGGAUUUGUGAAUGAUGUGAAGAGCUUGAUCUUUCAAUUGGGAUGUGUUCCUGGCGCCCUUCUAUCUGAAGACUAUUCACCUCCCAUUGCUGGUGUGCCUGUGUCUGUUGAUCCACCAGUCAUUGCCUCAAACUGCCCUCCAUCCGUAACUAGUGGCUCCAAUCAGCAAAAUAAUUCAUCGCAUGCUUCAAUGUCCUUUAGUGUUCAAACACCAUGUCCUCUAAAGGCAGAGACAAAUACUUGCCAGGGUUCUGCAUUGACACCCCAAACCCAUAAGCUGAACCAGAUAUCCAAUAACCCUUGCCAACCAAAGGUUAUUCCAACGAGUAAAACAAACUUUGCUAGCCAACGAGAGAAUAGAGCUGUGGAAGCUGAAGUAAUACCCUCAGAUCUAGAUUCAUGCCUGCAGCAGCAUUCUGUUUCAUGCAAUGCAAGAUCUGCUUUCAAUAACUUGAUUGGUUCUGGGUCUUUUGGUCAAUCUGGUAUAAGUGCUGAUAAUCUUACAUUAAUGGAGCAGCAAAUCAUAUCAGCCAUUGGGAAUCGAGAUAAUGUUAAUCCUUGUGUAAAUGCCUCGAGUUCGUUGAACAAGUCUCAACUAAGAACAGAUGGAGGCCAUCUACUUGGCCACAAUAUGAGUUCUGGCAGUACUUCAAUACUAGGAGGAAUCCCAAUACAUGGUGGGAUGAGUACUCUUUUGAGGUCAAAUCUGAUUACCAGUUCUGGUUCAAAAUCUUCCCAAGCAUCCACAGUUGAUUUUUCUGGAGUAGGAGUUGGAAUUGGACCUCAAAAUUGUGAUUCUUCAACUAAAGCUUUGGCAAAUUUGACUAGUCAAUCAGUAACCUUUCCCAUACAUGUAGAAGGUUCUAAUCAGAAGAUUCUUGUUUUAGAUUUAAAGUGUGCUUCAUCAAAUCAAAAGAUAGACUAUGAUUUGCUUCAGGCCCCUAACCCCCCCACUUUUCAUGUUGAGGAACAAGUGCCCUUUAGUGGUCAAAUCCCUGGUUUUACCCACGAUUGCCUUCAUAAAGAUGGUAGUAGUCAAUCUAUGAUGACAAAGGAUCCUAAAGACAAACUAGAUUAUGCUAAACCUCCAUCAGGUGAUGACCUGUUUGAUGUUUUAGGGGUGGAUUUGAAAAACCAAUUGCUGAAUGGAAACUGGGAUAAUCUCUUUACUUAUGAAUCAGAUGCUAAUGCAGAAAAUAUGGAAAAAAAGAUAGCACCUAUGAACAAGGAGGGUGUAACAAUAAAUCCUGAUAUUUAUUCAGUUAAAGAAACAAUAUCAGACAGUGACAUUUUUUCUGGGAUGGGAACAGACAACCUCUUGGAUGCCGUGGUCUCAAAAGCCAAAUCUAUUGUGAAACUGGAUUCUGAUGACAUGUCUUGCAGGACAACAUUGACAAGGAAUAGUACUGCCUCUGUUCCUUCUCCUGCCUGCAGGCCGGUAAUGUCGGGUCAUUUCCAGGGGGGAUUGUUUGAUUUUCCUAAGAAUUGGGGUAAAACAGGUGCCAUAGAAACUAGUUUGCUUAGGUCCGGAUGUAACAAGGAUGAUGCUGGAAACUGUUCUCAAACUAGUUCUGUUUAUGGCUCUCAACUUAGUUCAUGGGUUGAGAAUAGUGGGAGUGUGAAACAUGAGAAUAUUGUUUCAACUGGAUACUCAAAGCAGGCAGAUGAGAGUUGCAAACCAAAUCGUAAGAGGCUUAAACCAGGAGAGAAUCCCCGGCCUCGACCGAAAGAUCGUCAAAUGAUUCAAGAUCGAGUGAAAGAGUUACGAGAAAUUGUGCCAAACGGAGCAAAAUGUAGCAUAGAUGCACUUUUGGAACGGACCAUUAAGCACAUGCUUUUCUUACAAAGUGUGACAAAGCAUGCUGACAAGCUGAAACAAACAGGGGAGUCUAAGGUAUGGGACAGUAUUCACUCCCACGGCUUCUACCUUAGGCAGUUGAUCUUGUAUAUAUGAUUAUUAAUAAGGAAGGUGGGCUGCUUUUGAAAGACAACUUUGAGGGUGGGGCUACGUGGGCAUAUGAAGUUGGCUCACUAUCAAUGGUUUGCCCCAUUGUAGUCGAGGAUCUGAUUCCACCUCGUCAGAUGCUAGUGGAGAUGCUUUGUGAGGAACGAGGUUGCUUUUUGGAAAUAGCCGACUUAAUCAGAGGAUUAGGCUUAACCAUCUUAAAGGGGGUAAUGGAAGCUCACAAUGACAAAAUCUGGGCACGCUUUGCUGUUGAGGCAAACAGGGAUAUAACAAGGAUGGAAAUAUUUAUGUCACUUGUUUGUCUUUUGGAGCAAACGGUGAAGGGCAACACAUCUUCAUCCAAUGCAAUUGAUAACAUGGUGUAUCACUCUUUCCCACAGGCUACGCAGACAACAGAAAGGUCUAGUAGUUUGCAGUGAACCCACCUGUUACAUGUUUUCUUAUUAGGAUGUGUUGAGAGCAAGUCCGGUAUGCGCUUGCGAUGACUGACAUCAAAUCCAAUCUAAGAUUUCAGGUGGUCUUGACUUUGUCUAACUGUUUUACAUCUCAUAUCUGAACUCAUUUUGAAAGAGUGUGUAAGAGGUACUAGGUAGUGGAAAUCAUGUCAAGAUAAAUAUGGAUUCCUGCGUUGUAAUUUUGAAUGUUUCCUUCUGUGCCGGUCAACAUAAUGUAUACUGUGUUGGCAUUUUCUACUGAUAUCAUAUUACUGAACUCUUAGAUGACUUGCUUCCAUUUUUUAUAAUUGUGAGUUAUUACCAAAGCAGUUGGUCUUGUGAUUCAGAUCAGAUGUAUAGAUAUUGUAGGAUAUGGAAAGAAUGGUCUCAUGUGCUCAUUAGCUUGCUACACACUUUCUUCUGUGCCCUUUUACUCCAGGCUUUAGAAAGUUUGUACCAAAUAUGUUUAUAUAUUAUGUGAACUUGAAAGUUUUGUACCA